rnacentral:lncRNA from 1 species
CUCGGGGGCCGCUGGGAGCGGAAGCGGCUAGAACUCCGGCUCUCGGGACCGAAGGGCUCCUGUGGCAGCCGGGUAAACCCUGAACCCUUCCACGUCCAGUCUUUGAAAAGAAAUUCUAGUUUCCCUCUCCAGGAACUAAAGUGACGGUGAGGUCCAAAACGGCCUGGAGGGUGCAGCCACAGAGAGCCUUAAGUCCAGUGGGCGGGCCUUAUGACUGGCGAGUGGGGGAAUAGGGUCUGUGUUUGUACCGUAAGGUGGGGGCGAGGCUCGCGGAAUAGGCGGGGCUCCCUGACUAGUUGAAAACGAGAUGCUAGGAAGACUUUUACCGUCUCACAACUAUUACCAGAAUAAACCCAUUAACAGCAGAAAGAUGGACCAAUGUGAUAAGCUCAGUAUUUUGUGGGACAAAGAACGCAUUUAUGAUGAGCUGCCACCUAGUGUCAGAAAAUGGGUAAGUGUUAAAACAAAUCACUUUUACUCCUUUAUGAAAUCCUUACUUUCUGCCCCUCAGUUGUUGG